GCGCGUAGCUCAGGUGGAUAGAGCAUCAGCCUUCUAAGCUGAGGGUCGCUGGUUNNUACUCCAUUAAUUAAGCGCG
rnacentral:tRNA from 1 species